rnacentral:rRNA from 1 species
AUUGAACGCUGGCGGUAUGCUUAACACAUGCAAGUCGAACGGUAACAGGCCUUCGGGCGCUGACGAGUGGCGGACGGGUGAGUAACGCGUAGGAAUCUGCCUCAUAGUGGGGGACAACGUGGGGAAACUCACGCUAAUACCGCAUACGCCCUACGGGGGAAAGCGGGGGAUCUUCGGACCUCGCGCUAUGAGAUGAGCCUGCGUUAGAUUAGCUAGUUGGUAGGGUAAAGGCCUACCAAGGCGACGAUCUAUAGCUGGUCUGAGAGGACGAUCAGCCACACUGGGACUGAGACACGGCCCAGACUCCUACGGGAGGCAGCAGUGGGGAAUAUUGGACAAUGGGCGCAAGCCUGAUCCAGCAAUACCGCGUGUGUGAAGAAGGCCCUAGGGUUGUAAAGCACUUUCAAUGGGGAGGAAAACCUGCCGGUCAAUACCCGGCAGCUUGACAUUACCUAUAGAAGAAGCACCGGCUAACUCCGUGCCAGCCGCCGCGGUAACAC